rnacentral:rRNA from 1 species
UACGUAGGCAGCGAGCGUUGUUCGGAAUUACUGGGCGUAAAGAGUGUGUAGGCGGCGCUCUAAGUUCGGUGUGAAAUCUCUCGGCUUAACUGGGAGGGUGCGCCGGAAACUGGAGUGCUCGAACGUGGGAGAGGAAAGCGGAAUUCCUGGUGUAGCAGUGAAAUGCGUAGAUAUCAGGAGGAACACCUGCGGUGUAGACGGCUUUCUGGACCAUUGUUGACGCUGAGACACGAAAGCGUGGGUAGCAAACAGG